CAGCAACCAGCGGAUAUCAACUGCCGUUUCCAAAACUGAAAUGCGGAAGUACCAGUUUUGUCUCUCAGGAAGUCCCGUAGAAUUGGGUUGGCUGGUACGUUUAUUUGAUGUACAAAUAAGAAAACAAGGUUUAUGACGACUUCAUGAAUGGAAACUGAUGAAACCGAGAUGAUAAUUCUCACCCCAACCCUAAUAGGACAUCUCACUUAAAAGCUCAUUUUGGGGAUCUCUCAAGGUGUAAUCCAUGCUGUCAGAUGAGCUUGACUCCAAACCUGAGCUGCUGGUUCAGUUUGUCCAGAACGCAUCCAUACCUCUGGGGCAGGGUCUGGAGGACUCGGAGCCCAAACACAUCUGCCUUCCCCUGCUGGCUCCCGCAGACAGCUCCCUGUGCACACAGCUGGGUCUGACAGAGGGUGGUCUCAGCCAUGUGUCAGCAAGGUCUCCGUCCCGUUCAGAGUUUGGAGGUGCAGAGCGGAGCCCCAUGGUGGUGCACCACCAAGCCCGCAGCCCUCACAUGCCCCCCAGCCCCCCUCCCGUCCUCCAUGACCUGCAACGGUCAGAGAACACCUCCUAUGUCCUUCUGAACCUCGCCAAAGAUGAACGUGGUACCUUCAGGUGUUUGGAAAUUGCUCCCAAGGAUGAACCAGACUUGUGGAGGUCUACAAUUGUUUUUCUGAGGUCUUGGCUGAUUUCUUGAGAUUUUUCCAUGAUGUCAAGCAACGAGGCACAGCGUUUGAAGGUCUAGCAGCCUCUUCUGAGCCCCUAAUCUUCUCAGCAGAUGGUGCAGAGGAAGAGGAAGAAGAGGUGAUCUCGUCCGGGGACUGUGGCGUGGAUGGCACUGCCCCCUGGUACCUGAGGGUACAGGAGCUGGCGCACGACAGCCUCAUCGCAGCCACGCGGGCACAACUGGCUAAAGAUGCCAAGGCUAGCCAGGACGCUAGGGCUGGGAAUGGCACCAACAGUGACCACCUGCCCAGCUUCCUAUCGGAGGGGGCGAAGAGAGAACAGCCGGCGAGGCCCAAUCGUACACUGUCGUCUAAACAGAUCCUCCGCUGCUCCUUUGAGGGCUGCUACAGAACCUUCACCUGGCCUGCUCACCUCAAAUACCACCUCAAAACACACAGGAACGACCGCACGUUCCGGUGUGGGGCAGAGGGCUGUGGGAAGAGUUUCUACGUGCUGCAGCGUCUGCAGGUCCACAUGAGAACUCACAAUGGCGACAAGCCCUUCAUCUGCAAAGAGAAAAACUGUGGCAAGAAGUUCACCACCGCAGGAAACCUCAAGAACCACAAACGCACACACACAGGGGAGAAGCCCUUCUUGUGUGAAGCAGAUGGUUGUGGUCGGUCCUUCGCUGAGUACUCCAGUCUACGCAAACACAUGCUCGUACACUCAGGAGAAAAGCCCCACCAGUGUGGGAUCUGUGGGAAGACGUUCUCUCAGAGCGGUAGCAGGAACGUUCACAUGAGGAAGAGACAUGGAGAGGAGGCCCAGGGGAACGAGGGCAGAGAAACGGGUAACACACACACACACACAAACUAGGCUAGUGGUCUCCAAGCGUGGUUACGAGCGUUCUUUCUUCCAGUUCCAACCCAGCAUAAACGCACCUAAUUCAGCCGCAGCCUUGGUGUGUGUGUGUGGAACCAGCCCGUUGUUUACCAUCUGGAAUGUUAAAUAUGGCACCGAAACAUACCUGUAAUGUACAGUAUGUCCCCUGUGUGUUAUUGACAGGUGAGGCUUUGACACAUAGCAGUUUACUGGAGGCCGACGGGUCGCCCGUCGACACCAUGGUCACCAUGACUACAGGGGUUGAUCCAAUUAACGUCCACCAUGCCAUGCUGCGAGCCCAAGGCUCGGCAGACUCGGUGGUUGUUCUCUCUCAACCCCAUGACCUGGUCACCAUGACAACAGCAAGCCACACAUACCCAGAGGAUGUGGUGGCCCUGUUGUAGUCAAGUCUGUUGGGCAAAUCUCAGGCAUUUGAGGCAAAGCUCUCUGUACAUAGAUGCAUCCUUCACUUUUAGCCCUGUAGAUAUCUGUAAUUAGCUACUAAGGGUUUUAUUUUGAGAAAGACAGUAUGAAAUGUUCUAGAACUUGUACAAAGACGUUUUCUGUAGUUUAUAAAUACAAAUAACUAUCAGGUGACUUUCCAAAGAAAUAAGACAGAUAUACAAAUCGUGAGUUUUAUUAAAAGAAAGUACAUGUAGCUACCUGGAUUUGUUAUUGUUGAAACGUACUAAAUCAAUUGUGUAAGCUCAACAUGCAGUGAUUUGUAAAACAAUAUUAAGGCUGUUGCUUUUAGCUUAAUUCACAAAUGAAUCAAGUCAAUAGCUGACGUAAGACUAUAUGAAAAGGACAUUAAAUGUGCUCCACAGCAAUGUGCUCCGUCCUCCAUCAUUCGUAGAAAGGAAACGUUGAAAUCAGUUCCAUACUCCCAAGCUGCUAUUGGAACUAAAGCGCAGUAAGAUUUGAUGCACAGAGGGGGCUGCAUGUAGAACAAUUUAACACACUUUUUUUGCAAAGCACACUCUCAUACCAGUUUAUUUUUUUAAUGAAGAUAAAGAUCACACCCAAGUGAUAUUAAACAGACGGUCAAAAUAUCCACCUUUUAUACAGUAACACAACUAAGUGGCGUUUCAGUCAGCGACAGCCCCCAGUGCUUUAAUAGAGAUGUAAAUAAUAUGAGACCACUGUGCUAUAGCAACCAGUCACAUGAAAACAACAGACCUACUGAACUAUAGGACCAACCAUUUAGGUGUUGGGUAACAAAAAUAGUUGGAACAAUUGUAAUGUUAUCUCAGAAAUGUCAAAUCUUGAUAGUCAAAUAGUAAGUCAAAGAUGCAAGGCAUAUUUUUAAGACAUUACAAUCCACAACAAGGCAGGAACGAAGGCUGUUAUGUUUAAAACAACAAUAGUUCCUCAGUCCAUUUAUUUUUGAGCACCAUCUAAUCCAGUGGUUUUCCCCUCCUGCCCACCCAGACCCGUGGCUCCUUGUCUAUCUGUGGAUCUUUAGGUUCUGGAAGUGGUUGAACGUGGCACCUAAAGCCCAGCUUGUCUCCACGUUGUUGACUUUCUUAGUCAGCUAGGGAAGAGAGACAACACGCACCAAAUCACUCAACAUGUCUUUUUUGUAUUUAUUUAAAUAAAUAAAACAUUUGAACUGA